UCCUACUCAGGGGACAAACCUUCUUAUCGGAAAUUGAUGAUUUGUUUACUCUCCCCUCCUACUCAAAGGACAAACCUUCCUAUUCGAAGUUGAUGAUUUGUUUACUCUCUCACUCCUACUCCUACUCAGGGGACAAACCUUCCUAUCAAAAAUUGAUGAUUUGUUUACUCUCCUACUCUUACUUCUAUUCAGGGGACAAACCUUCUUAUCGAAAAUUGAUGAUUUGCUUACUCUCCCCUCCUACUUAGAGGACAAACCUUCCUAUUCGAAUUUGAUGAUUUGUUUACUCUCUCCUCCUACUCAGAGGACGAACCUUCCCAUCGCAAGUUGAUAAUUUGUUUACUCUCUCACUCCUACUCCUACUCCUACUCCUACUCCUACUCCUACUCAGGGGACAAACCUUCCUAUCGAAAAUUGAUGAUUUGUUUACUCUCCCUUCUUACUCAAAGGACAAACCUUCCUAUCAGAAGUUGAUGAUUUGUUUACUCUCCCCCUCCUACUCCUACUCCCCCUCCUACUCAGGGGACAAAUCUUUCUAUCGAAAAUUGAUAAUUUGUUUACUCUCCUACUCCUACUCCUAUUCAGAGGACAAACCUUCUUAUCGGAAAUUGAUGAUUUGUUUACUCUCCCCUCCUACUCAGAGGACAAACCUUCCUAUUCGAAGUUGAUGAUUUGUUUACUCUCUCACUCCUACUCCUACUCCUACUCAGGGGACAAACCUUCCUAUCGAAAGUUGAUGAUUUGUUUACUCUCUCACUCCUACUCCUACUCCUACUCAUGGAACAAACCUUCCUAUCGAAAAUUGAUGAUUUGUUUACUCUCCCCUCCUACUCAGGGGACAAACCUUCCUAUCGAAAAUUGAUGAUUUGUUUACUCUCCUACUCCUACUCAGGGGACAAACCUUCUUAUCGGAAAUUGAUGAUUUGUUUACUCUCCCCUCCUACUCAGAGGACAAACCUUCCUAUUCGAAGUUGAUGAUUUGUUUACUCUCUCACUCCUACUCCUACUCCUACUCCUACUCAAGGGACAAACCUUCCUAUCGAAAAUUGAUGAUUUAUUUACUUUCUCCUCCUACUCAGAGGACAAACCUUCCCAUCGAAAGCUGAUGAUUUGUUUACUCUUUCACUCCUACUCCUACUCCUACUCAGGGGACAAACCUUCCUAUCGAAAAUUGAUGAUUUGUUUACUCUCCCUUCUUACUCAAAGGACAAAC
rnacentral:lncRNA from 1 species